AUUGAACGCUGGCGGCAUGCCUUACACAUGCAAGUCGAACGGCAGCACGGAGCUUGCUCUGGUGGCGAGUGGCGAACGGGCGAGUAAUAUAUCGGAACGUACCCUGGAGUGGGGGAUAACGUAGCGAAAGUUACGCUAAUACCGCAUACGAUCUACGGAUGAAAGUGGGGGAUCGCAAGACCUCAUGCUCGUGGAGCGGCCGAUAUCUGAUUAGCUAGUUGGUAGGGUAAAAGCCUACCAAGGCAUCGAUCAGUAGCUGGUCUGAGAGGACGACCAGCCACACUGGAACUGAGACACGGUCCAGACUCCUACGGGAGGCAGCAGUGGGGAAUUUUGGACAAUGGGCGAAAGCCUGAUCCAGCAAUGCCGCGUGAGUGAAGAAGGCCUUCGGGUUGUAAAGCUCUUUUGUCAGGGAAGAAACGGUGAGGGCUAAUAUCCCUUGCUAAUGACGGUACCUGAAGAAUAAGCACCGGCUAACUACGUGCCAGCAGCCGCGGUAAUACGUAGGGUGCAAGCGUUAAUCGGAAUUACUGGGCGUAAAGCGUGCGCAGGCGGUUUUGUAAGUCUGAUGUGAAAUCCCCGGGCUCAACCUGGGAAUUGCAUUGGAGACUGCAAGGCUAGAAUCUGGCAGAGGGGGGUAGAAUUCCACGUGUAGCAGUGAAAUGCGUAGAUAUGUGGAGGAACACCGAUGGCGAAGGCAGCCCCCUGGGUCAAGAUUGACGCUCAUGCACGAAAGCGUGGGGAGCAAACAGG
rnacentral:rRNA from 1 species